AUGUACAUUCCUACAACAUAGCAUUAAUGCACCAGAUCCCAUUAUAACUCCCCAAUUAAGCGCGCUCAAGAUAGAGUAGUACUUGGAUGGGUGAUCGCCUGGGAAGUCCUAGUAUUUUACAUG
rnacentral:rRNA from 1 species